GACAGAGAGCUGCAGCAUGUGUCUCAGCAGGAGGAAGCAAGGGCUGCACAGAAGGUUAACAGAGGAGCAGGUAAGUGUGGUGCAUGUUCCCUGGAUGAAGGGUUAGGGCAGCAGCAGCAGACAGAAUGAGCUGUGUGAGUAGCAGGGAGAGGGAAGGUGUGAGUAGCAGGGAGGGGAGAGUGGCUUCUCUUGCACGGCCCUUACAGCUCUCUGCGCAGGGCUCUGGCAGUGCUGCUCAUGGUUCCCUAGCCCACUUAGAUAGUAUACCAUCAGGGAGUAGCCCCCUUCAGGGGGGUGCACAGGCCUUUCAGGUACACGUGUUUGGGCUGUUUCCCUGUCUGGUCAUUCUUUUGCAGGAUCUUCUGCUUGUGGUAGAAGAAAGAAGAGAAGGCACUGUACGCAUCGUCGCGGGGAACACGGACGUUCCAGGAGUCAUCGCAGGAGACGGUAUCGUUCUCGCAGAUGCGCAUCUUCUACAUCAUCCAGCGGUACUUCUUCCUCAUCUCAGCGUUCCUCGGGCAGUAGUUCUUCUGGACCUGCAGCCGAACAACGUUGGAGUUGUGGCCAUCGCCGUGGUUAACAGGAACUUGUUACGCCGAAAGGACAAACAGCAGAGGCUACUCCGGCCUGUGGACCAGGUGGGGAACAGUCGACAGCUACAGCAUCUCUGGCUACACCUGAAGCACCCCUGGGAGCCUCAGGGACGCCAUCAGUAGAUUCCCUCUGCCCUCAGGCCUUGAUCGUGGGUCUUUCAUAUAUCUUUUGGGCACAGAGAAGAACGGAAGGUCGACCCUGCGGUGGCAACCUUGGCGUUGACGAUGUCGCUGUUCAUUGGCGGGGUGUCCGGGGCCUACGAAUUGUCACAGCUGGCGGAAGGUAGCCCUGAAAAAAGUAGGAAAUCCUACAUGCGUCGCUGCCUACAGCGUUCAGUAUAACAGGAGGUUAUGUGUCUUUGGAAAACAGAAAGUUGGGUUGCUUUAAAUAAAUUUCCAGGGCUCACAUUGUUAGAUAUGGUUAAAUAAAAC